rnacentral:rRNA from 1 species
UAACCUGCCCAAGAGAUCGGGAUAACACCUGGAAACAGAUGCUAAUACCGGAUAACAACAGAUGAUGCCUAUCAACUGUUUAAAAAAAUGGUUCUGCUAUCACUCUUGGAUGGACCUGCGGUGCAUUAGCUAGUUGGUAGGGUAACGGCCUACCAAGGCGAUGAUGCAUAGCCGAGUUGAGAGACUGAUCGGCCACAUUGGGACUGAGACACGGCCCAAACUCCUACGGGAGGCAGCAGAC